rnacentral:rRNA from 1 species
AGAGUUUGAUCCUGGCUCAGGAUGAACGCUGGCGGCGUGCUUAACACAUGCAAGUCGAACGGACAGGUAAUGAAACCUAGUGAUUUAUCUGUUAGUGGCGGACGGGUGAGUAACGCGUGGGUAACCUGCCGUAUACAGGGGGAUAACACUUAGAAAUAGGUGCUAAAACCGCAUAAGCGCACAGGAUCGCAUGGUCCGGUGUGAAAAACUCCGGUGGUAUACGAUGGACCCGCGUCUGAUUAGCUGUUGCGGGGUAGGGGCCCACCAAGGCGACGAUCAGUAGCCGGCCUGAGAGGGUGAACGGCCACAUUGGGACUGAGACACGGCCCAAACUCCUACGGGAGGCAGCAGUGGGGAAUAUUGCACAAUGGGGGGAAACCCUGAUGCAGCGACGCCGCGUGAGUGAAGAAGUAUUUCGGUAUGUAAAGCUCUAUCAGCAGGAAAGAAAAUGACGGUACCUGACUAAGAAGCCCCGGCUAACUACGUG